AUCCAACCGACGAGUUCCAAAUAAGACGAAACGGGAGUCCUAGAU
rfam:Schistosoma mattheei strain Denwood, Zambia genome assembly, scaffold: SMTD_scaffold0002149